UGUCCGCUGCGAUUAGCACGGAUUUCGCCUUCACUGGUAGCCUGGUAACAUACACUCCCAGGUCUUUCUCUGCCUCUGUGGUGGAUAGUGGAGUGUUUCCCAUGUGGUAUUGGUGUGCUGGAUAUCCCUUCACUGGUAGCCUGGUAACAUACACUCCCAGGUCUUUCUCUGCCUCUGUGGUGGAUAGUGGAGUGUUUCCCAUGUGGUAUUGGUGUGCUGGAUAUCCCUUCACUGGUAGCCUGAUAACAUACACUCCCAGGUCUUUCUCUGCCUCUGUGGUGGAUAGUGGAGUGUUUCCCAUGUGGUAUUGGUGUGCUGGAUAUCCCUUCACUGGUAGCCUGGUAACAUACACUCCCAGGUCUUUCUCUGCCUCUGUGGUGGAUAGUGGAGUGUUUCCCAUGUGGUAUUGGUGUGCUGGAUAUCCCUUCACUGGUAGCCUGGUAACAUACACUCCCAGGUCUUUCUCUGCCUCUGUGGUGGAUAGUGGAGUGUUUCCCAUGUGGUAUUGGUGUGCUGGAUAUCCCUUCACUGGUAGCCUGGUAACAUACACUCCCAGGUCUUUCUCUGCCUCUGUGGUGGAUAGUGGAGUGUUUCCCAUGUGGUAUUGGUGUGCUGGAUAUCCCUUCACUGGUAGCCUGAUAACAUACACUCCCAGGUCUUUCUCUGCCUCUGUGGUGGAUAGUGGAGUGUUUCCCAUGUGGUAUUGGUGUGCUGGAUAUCCCUUCACUGGUAGCCUGAUAACAUACACUCCCAGGUCUUUCUCUGCCUCUGUGGUGGAUAGUGGAGUGUUUCCCAUGUGGUAUUGGUGUGCUGGAUAUCCUCUCCCAAGGUGCAGGACUUUACAUUUUUCUUCAUUGAAUUGUAGCAGCCACUUUUUGAUCCAUUCCUGUAGCUUGGUGAUGUCUGACUGUAGGAAAUCCACAGUCAAGGGAUUAACUAAAG